rnacentral:rRNA from 1 species
ACUCCUACGGGAGGCAGCAGUGGGGAAUAUUGCACAAUGGGGGAAACCCUGAUGCAGCGACGCCGCGUGAACGAAGAAGUAUUUCGGUAUGUAAAGUUCUAUCAGCAGGGAAGAUAAUGACGGUACCUGACUAAGAAGCACCGGCUAAAUACGUGCCAGCAGCCGCGGUAAU